UCCGUAGGUGGCAAGCGUUGUCCGGAUUUAUUGGGUUUAAAGGGUGCGUAGGCGGCUUUGUAAGUCAGUGGUGAAAUAUGGCAGCUUAACUGUCAAGGUGCCAUUGAUACUGCAGAGCUUGAGUACAGAUGAGGUAGGCGGAAUUGACGGUGUAGCGGUGAAAUGCUUAGAUAUCGUCAAGAACACCUAUAGCGAAGGCAGCUUACUAAGCUGUAACUGACGCUGAGGCACGAAAGUGUGGGGAUCAAACAGG
rnacentral:rRNA from 1 species